UUCUCCGAUCAGCGCGUGAACGCAGCUCGGCUGCCGCUGGCAGGAAACAAUUCUGCAAAAAUAAUCAUACUCAGCCUGGCAAUUGUCUGCCCCUAGGUCUGUCGCUCUGCCGCCGUCCACACUCGCUGCAGGGGGGGGCACAGAAUUUACCGCGGCAAGAACAUCCCUCCCAGCCAGCAGAUUACAAUGCUGCAAACUAAGGAUCUCAUCUGGACUUUGUUUUUCCUGGGAACUGCAGGUAAGACCCUUUUCUUUCCUUUUGAAUUAUUAUUCUGCCUAAAGUUAUAAUAUUAAUAUGUAUGGUUUUGCUUUUAAGUGUUCAAGGAAAUAGCAUGGCGUAGUUUCCAUAAAUUUAUUCUAAAUUAAAUUAUUUUCAGCUACAAGGAAAUGUCAUUGGUACAGAGUAUAAGUGGAGAUAGAUUCCAGUCAACUGUGGAAUAUCCUCUUAAAGUAUUUUAUAAAAUAUGGCUUACACUCAAUACACAAUCAAAAAAUAGAUAUGUGCAGGAUUUUACUGUCUUAUUUU
rnacentral:sRNA from 1 species